UGAUGUACAAAUAACGAUAAUAUUCUAAUGACAUCAAUGGAAAACAAUAAUGAAAAUAGGCACUCCAUAUUGCUUCCCGAAAUUUGUACUUGUGGCAUAGCAGAUAAACAGGACGAACUAGAUAAAAAAUGAGCAAGGGUUUCUAAAGGAGAAUAAUUUCAUCAAGUUUUUUUUUUUUGCUUCUUCUUAAUAAGUAUUUAAUACUCAAGAAAACGUAGAAACAAUUAGGCAACAAUAGCACUGUGGUUUACAGUUACCCUUUCUUAUACAGAAAAGAUAGAGGUUAUGACAACUGUUAAAACAUGGAAUUUUGCAUGAUGAACCGGUAUUACUUUUGUAAGUUAAUACAAUAACAAAAAGAUAAAAGUUAAUAGAAAAUUUAGGGAAAAAGAAGUGCAAAGCUCUGAGAAUCAUUCCGAUAUACUUAGACAAUAGUAAAAUAAAUAAAUACUUAGAACACGGACGGAUUUUGCAAUU